GGCACGGUGGUCUAGCGGUCAGAACACUUGCCUUGUAAUCCUGGGGUCCCGGGUUCAAUUCCCGGUGGUGCUC
rfam:Zootermopsis nevadensis contig21938, whole genome shotgun sequence.